rnacentral:rRNA from 1 species
AUUGAACGCUGGCGGCAUGCCUUACACAUGCAAGUCGAACGGCAGCACGGGUGCUUGCACCUGGUGGCGAGUGGCGAACGGGUGAGUAAUAUAUCGGAACGUGCCCUAGAGUGGGGGAUAACGUAGCGAAAGUUACGCUAAUACCGCAUACGAUCUACGGAUGAAAGUGGGGGAUCGCAAGACCUCAUGCUCCUGGAGCGGCCGAUAUCUGAUUAGCUAGUUGGUGGGGGAAAAGCCUACCAAAGCGACGAUCAGUAGCUGGUCUGAGAGGACGACCAGCCACACUGGGACUGAGACACGGCCCAGACUCCUACGGGAGGCAGCAGUGGGGAAUUUUGGACAAUGGGGGAAACCCUGAUCCAGCAAUGCCGCGUGUGUGAAGAAGGCCUUCGGGUUGUAAAGCACUUUUGUCAGGAACGAAACGGUGGGGGCUAAUACCUCCUGCUAAUGACGGUACCUGAAGAAUAAGCACCGGCUAACUACGUGCCAGCCGCCGCCGUAA